ACACAUCCAUUUGUUUUCAGGUUGUUUUCCCAUAUAGAUUAUCACAGAAUAUUGGGUAGAGUUACCUGUGCUGUAUAGCAGGUCCUUGAUGACCAACCAUUCCAUAUACCGCAGUGUCACCUCCUGUCCACUUUGGUAUCCAUAAGUUUGUUUUCAGAGACUGAGUCUGUUUCUGUUCUACAAAUGAGUUAAUUUGUAUCCUUUUGUAGAUUUGACAUAUGAGUGAUCAUCUGAUGUUUGUCUUUCCUAACUUGGUAUGAUGAUCUCAUGUUGCUGCAAAUAGCAUUAUUUCAUUCUUGUUUAUGGCUGAAUAAUAUUUCAUUGCGUAUUUGUACCACAUCUUCUCUAUCUGUUGAUGGACACUUAGGUUACUUCCAUAUCUUGACUAUUGUAAAUGGUGCUGCAAUGAAUGUUGGGGGUGCAUAUAUCUUUUCAAUUUAUGGUUUUCUCCAAUGUAUGCCCAGGAGUGGGUUUGCUGGAUCAUGUGGCAGUUCUAUAUUUAGUUUUUUAAGGAAUCUCAAUACUGUCCUCCACUGUCAUCUGCAGACAGUGAUAGUUUCACUUCUCCAAUUUGGAUUCCUUUUUUUCUCUUUUCACAGCCAUACCUUCAGCAUAUGGAAGUUUCCAGACCAGGUGUUGAAUUGGAGCUGCAGCUACAGCCUGUGCUACAGCCACUGCAACACUGGAUCUGCACUGCAUCUGCCACCUAUGCCACAGCUUGUGUCAGUGCUGGAUCCUUAACCCACUGAGUGAGGGCAGGGAUCAAACCUGCAUUAUCAUUGAGAAAAUACCAGGCCCUUAACCCACUGAGCCACAAUAGGAACUCUUUGGAUUCCUUUUAUUUUUUUUUCUUCUCUGAUGGCCAUGGGUAGGACUUCUAAAACUGUUGAAUAAAAAUGGCAAGAGUGGACAUCCUUGUCUUGUUCCUGAUCUUAGCUGAAAUUCUUUCUGCUUUUCACCACUGAAUGAUACUACCUGUGAGUUUGUCAUAUAGGGCCUUUAUUACAUUGAGGUAGAUUACUUCUGUGUACUUCUGGAGGGUUAUCAUAAAUGGGUGUUUGAUUUUGUCUAAGGUUCUUUCUCCAUCUAUUAAGAUGAUCUUAGGAUUUUUAUUCCUCAAUUUGUUAAUAUGGUGUAUCAUCCUGAUUGACUUGUGGAUAUUGAAAAAUCCUUGCAUCCUUGAGUAAAUCCCACUUGAUCAUGGUGUUUGAUCCUUUUAAUGUAUUGUUGGAUUCAGUUUGCUAGUAUUUUGUUGAUUAUUUUUGCAUCUGUAUUCCUCAGUGAUAGUGGUCUGUAAUUUUCUUUUUUUAUAGUAUCUUUGUUUUUGGUUAUUAAGGUGAUGGUGCUCACAUAGAAUGAAUUUGGGAGUGUUCCUUCCUGUGGGAUUUUUUGGAAUAAUUUCAGAAGAAUAGGUGUUAGGUCUUCUCUAAAUGUUUGGUAGAAUUCACCUGGAAGACAUCUGGUCCUGGCCUUUUGUUUGUUGGAAGUUUUAAAAUAUCAGUUUCAAUUUCAGUACUUGUUAUUGGUCUGUUCAUCUUUCCUGUUUCUUCCAGGUUAAGUCUUGGAAGAUUGUACCUUUCUAAGACUUUGUCUGUUUUUCUAGGUUGUCCAUUUUGUUGGCAUAGAGUUGCUUGUAGAUGUCUCUUUGAUCCUUUGUAUUUUCUGUGAUGUAUAUAUGUAACUUCUUUUUAUUUCUAUUUUUUUUUGAUUUGAGCUCUCUCCCUUUUUUUUUCUUGAUGAGUCUGGCUAAACGUUUAUCAAUUUAAUCUUUUCAAAGAAACAACUUUUAGUUUCAUUGCUGUUUUCUAUUGUUUUCUUCAUUUUUAUUUCAUUUAUUUCUGCUCUCAUCUUUAUGAUUUCUUUCCUUAACUUUGGGUUGUGUUUGUUUUUCUUUCUCUAGUUGUUUUAGGUGUUGUUUAUUGGAGAUUUUUAGUUUCCUGAGGUAGGCUUAUAUUGCUCUAAACUUCAGUCUUAGAACUGCUUUUGCUGCAUCCCACAGGAUUUAGAUCUUGUUUUCCUCAUUGUCAUUAUCUCUAGGUAUUUUUGAUUUCCUCUUUGAUUUCCUCAGUGAUCCGUUGGGUGUUUAGUAGCAUAUUAUUAAUUCUUGUUUGCAUUUUUUUUGCGGAUUCGUUCGUUCAUUCUUUCUUUCCUCCUUCCUUCCUUGUCUCUUUAGGCUGCACCUCUGGCAUAUGGAAGUUCUCAGUUAUUGAAUCAGAGCUGUAGCUGCCUGCCACAGCAACAUGGGAUCAGAGCUGCAUCUGUGACCUACACCACAGCUCAUGGCAAUGCUAGAUCCUGAACCCAAUGAGCAAGGCCAGGGAUCAAACCCCUGUCCUCAUAGAUACUAGUCGGGUUCAUUAUCAUUGAGCCACGACGGGAACUCCUGCAGGUUGUAGCUGAUUUCUAGUCAUAUCAUGUUGUGGUCAGAAAGAUGAUUUCAGUUUUCUUAAAUUUACCAAGGCUUGAUGUGUGGCGCAGAAUGUGAUCUAUCCUAGAGAAUGUUUCAUGAGCACCUGAGGAUAUAUAUUCUGCUGCUUUCAGAUGGAAUGUUCUAUAAAUAUCUAUUAAGUCCAUCUGAUUUAAUGCCUCAUUUAAGACCUGUGUUUCUUGUUGAUUUUCCAUCUGGAUGAUCUGCCAUUGCUGUAAGUUUGGUGUUAAAUUAUACCACUUUUACUAUGUUAUUGUUGAUUUCUCCUUUUAUGGCUGUUAGAAAUUGUCUUAUAUAUUUGAGGUGCUCCUAUGUUGGGUGCAUAUAUAAUUAGAAUUGUUUUAUCUUCUUCAUGGAUAGAUUCUGUGAUCACCAGGUUGUGCCCUUCUUUAUCUCUUGUAACAUUCUUUAUUUUAAAAUCUGUUUUGUCUGAUAUGAGUUUUGCUAGUCUAGCCUUCCUUGGAUUUCUACUUGUAUAGAAUAUCUUCUUCUCUUUAUUUCUCAAAAUAUAUAAAGCAGUAAUUAUAUUACCAUUUGUUGGACUUAUAAUGUAUAGAGUUAUUAUAUAUAUAAUAAUAGUAGGACAGGAGUUCCUGUCGUGGCGCAGUAGUUAAUGAAUCUGACUAGGAACCAUGAGGUUGCGGGUUUGAUCCCUGCCCUUGCUCAGUGGGUUAACGAUCCAGCAUUGCCAGGAGCUGUGGUGUAGGUCACAGACGCGGCUCGGAUCCCAUGUUGCUGUGGCUCUGGUGUAGGCCGGUGGCUACAGCUCCGAUUAGACCCCUAGCCUGGGAACCUCCAUAUGCCGCGGGAGCGGCCCAAGAAAUGGCAAAAAACAAACAAACAAACAAACAAAAAAAUAGUAGGACAAAAGAAGGGAAAGAAAAUGGAGGCAUUUCCUUUGUGGUGCAUCAGAAAUGAACUGGACUAGUAUCCUUGAGGACUUGUGUUUGAUCCCUGCCCUUGAUCGGUGGGUCAAGGAUCUGGCAUUGCCAGGAGUCGUGGUGUAGAUCACAGAUGAAGCUCAGGUCUGGCAUUGCUGUGGUUGUUGCAUAGGCUGGCAGCUGUAGCUCUCAUUUGACCCCUAACCUGGGAACUUCCAUAUGCUGCAGGUGCAGCCCUGAAAAAUAAACAGAGGAAAAGAAAAGGAAAAAAAAGAAAAUAGAGCUGUAUUGUGGCCAAGUCCUUAUAUUUUACCAGAAUUAAAUUAGUAUUAGGAUUAAGUAGAUUGUGAUAAGAUAUGUAUUGUAAUCUCUAUAGCAAUCAAUUAAGAAAAAAUGAUAGAAAAUAAUUCAAAAUUAUAGUUUAAAAGUCAGAGAAAUUAAAAUUAUGUACUAAAAUUGUUUAACAUAAAAUAAGGAUAGAGAAAUUAAAAAACUAUAGUACAUAUAGAAAACAGAAAGCAAAAUAAUAUAAAUCCAACGAUAUUGGUAAUUACAUAAAACGUGAAUAGACAAAAUUCUAAAAUGUAGAGGGUAGGGUUUUAUGCUUUUGUUAUGUAUGUAUGUAUGUCAUUCAAACACCCUGGAAUGAGUAUUUCUGAAUUAUGGUGCUUCAAAUAUUAACUACCUUCCCUGACAUCAAGGGUCCAGUUUCUUAUAAUGGGUGGUGAGGAGAAUGUGUUAUUGAUGUAUUUCGAAUGGAGCAAUUUUUUCAUUAGGCAAAACUGUCUUAUAUGUUAGAGGAUAUUUAGCAUUUCUGAACCCUGCCCACAAAUGUCAGUGACAGUUCCCCACCCUCACCCCCAGUUGUAUUAUAGUAUUAAAGAUUACACCUCCACAUAGAUAUUUCUAAAUAUUCCUUAUGGGAGCAUAGUACCUUCCCUGUUAACAUGCCAUCUCACCUGCAACCUUAUCAGAAGCAGUAGAAGAGCUUUAAACAAAUCAUCUCACUUUUUAUGAAAGUAUUUUAAAGUGAAUUACAGUAUAACAAAGGAGAAAAGAACACUCAUAAAGAUCCUGAGAACAAAAUGACUUGAAAUGUUUGAUGAUCUGAAAAGAGACUGCUGUCAUUAGAGUAUUAAUGGAUAAAGAGUAAGGUGGCAUAUAUGAAGAGCGAAGAGAGAGGCAGGGUUCAGGCUACAUAUAUAGCAAUCUUUUAAUCUUUUUGUUGUUGAAUUGGAGCUGCAGCUGCCAGCCUACACCACAGCCACAGCAACACAGGAUCCAAGCCACAUCUGCGACCUACACCACAGCUUAUGGCAACACGGGAUCCUUAACUCACUGUGUGAGGCCAGGGAUCGAACCUGUGUCUUCAUGGAUGCUAAUCAGGUUAGUUUCUGCAGAUCCAUGACAGGAACUCCUCUUUUUUUAACUUCAACCUAUAGUAAGUGACUUAGGACACUUGUGCACUCAUACACACAAAUAAAACUUGAAAUCAAAGAUUUAUGAGAGAUGGAGUUCCCAUCGUAGCUCAGUGAAACGAAUCUGACUUGCAUCCAUGAGGACGAAGGUUCGAUCCCUGGCCUUUCUCAGUGGGUUAAGGAUCGGCGUUGCCAUGACCUGUGGUUUAGGUCGCAGAUGUGGCUCAGAUGCCAAGUUGCUGUGGCUGCGAUGUAAGCCAGCAGCUGCAGUUCCAGUUCGACCUCUAGCCUGGGAACCUUCAUAUGCCGUGGGUAUGGUCCUAA
ensembl:lncRNA